UCCUGGCUAUAAAUUAAAUUAAAUUUACCAGAGUACUAUGAAUACUAUAAAAUUUAAAACUCAAAGGACUUGGCGGUGUUUUAGACCACUCAGGGGAACCUGUCCCGUAAUCGAUAAUCCACGUUACACCUAACCCACUUUUGCUUUCAGCUUGUAUACCGUUGUCGUCAGGUAACUUUUUAGAAUUCAGAAGUUAGCUAAAAAUAAUAAGUUUAAACGUCAAAUCAAGGUGCAGCUAACAAGGGGGCGAGGAUGGGUUACAAUUAUUUAAUUAUAACUACGAAAAAUCAUAAGAAUAAGCGAUUAAGAAGGAGGACUUGAAAGUAAAUUAAAUUAUAGAAAUAACUUGAAUAAGGCUCUGAAAUGCGCACACAUCGCCCGUCGCUCUUGUUGGAAAAUAAGAUAAGUCGUAACAUAGUAGGGGUAAUGGAAAUUGUCCCUAAACU
rnacentral:rRNA from 1 species